rnacentral:rRNA from 1 species
CAGUCGCCACGGUAAUACGGAGGGGGCUAGCGUUGUUCGGAAUUACUGGGCGUAAAGCGCACGUAGGCGGCUUGGUAAGUUAGAGGUGAAAGCCUGGAGCUCAACUCCAGAAUUGCCUUUAAGACUGCCGAGCUAGCAGGUGAGAGAGGUAAGUGGAAUUCCGAGUGUAGAGAUGAAAUUCGUAGAUAUUCGGAAGAACACCAGUGGCGAAGGCGGCUUACUGGCUCAUACUGGACGCUGAGGUGCGAAAGCGUGGGGAGCAAACAGGAUUAGAUACCCCCGUAGUCCCUGUCUCUUAUAC